AGUCGAACGGUAACAGGGAGCUUGCUCCGCUGACGAGUGGCGAACGGGUGAGUAAUACAUCGGAACGUGUCCUGUAGUGGGGGAUAGCCCGGCGAAAGCCGGAUUAAUACCGCAUACGCUGUACGCAGGAAAGGGGGGGAUCGCAAGACCUCUCGCUAUAGGGGCGGCCGAUGGCAGAUUAGCUAGUUGGUGGGGUAAAGGCCUACCAAGGCGACGAUCUGUAGCUGGUCUGAGAGGACGACCAGCCACACUGGGACUGAGACACGGCCCAGACUCCUACGGGAGGCAGCAGUGGGGAAUUUUGGACAAUGGGCGAAAGCCUGAUCCAGCAAUGCCGCGUGUGUGAAGAAGGCCUUCGGGUUGUAAAGCACUUUUGUUCGGGAAGAAAAGGCUUGGGAUAAUACCCUGAGCUGAUGACGGUACCGGAAGAAUAAGCACCGGCUAACUACGUGCCAGCAGCCGCGGUAAUACGUAGGGUGCAAGCGUUAAUCGGAAUUACUGGGCGUAAAGCGUGCGCAGGCGGUUCGUUAAGACAGAUGUGAAAUCCCCGGGCUCAACCUGGGAACUGCAUUUGUGACUGGCAAGCUAGAGUAUGGCAGAGGGGGGUGGAAUUCCGCGUGUAGCAGUGAAAUGCGUAGAUAUGCGGAGGAACACCGAUGGCGAAGGCAGCCCCCUGGGCCAAUACUGACGCUCAUGCACGAAAGCGUGGGGAGCAAACAGGAUUAGAUACCCUGGUAGUCCACGCCCUAAACGAUGUCAACUAGUUGUUGGGGAUUCAUUUCCUUAGUAACGUAGCUAACGCGUGAAGUUGACCGCCUGGGGAGUACGGUCGCAAGAUUAAAACUCAAAGGAAUUGAC
rnacentral:rRNA from 1 species